GAUGAACGCUAGCGGCAGGCUUAACACAUGCAAGUCGAGGGGUAUAUGCCUUCGGGCAUAGAGACCGGCGCACGGGUGCGUAACGCGUAUGCAAUCUGCCUUCCACAAAGGAAUAGCCCAGAGAAAUUAGGAUUAAUGCCUUAUAGCAUCACGAGAUGGCAUCAUCAUGUGAUUAAAGAUUUAUCGGUGGAAGAUGAGCAUGCGUCCCAUUAGCUAGUUGGAGUGGUAAGGGCACACCAAGGCGAUGAUGGGUAGGGGUCCUGAGAGGGAGAUCCCCCACACUGGUACUGAGACACGGACCAGACUCCUACGGGAGGCAGCAGUGAGGAAUAUUGGUCAAUGGGCGCAAGCCUGAACCAGCCAUGCCGCGUGCAGGAUGAAGCAUCUAUGGUGUGUAAACUGCUUUUAUACAGGAAGAAACACUCCCUCGUGAGGGAGCUUGACGGUACUGUAGGAAUAAGGAUCGGCUAACUCCGUGCCAGCCGCCGCCGUAA
rnacentral:rRNA from 1 species